rnacentral:rRNA from 1 species
GUAGGGAAUAUUGGGCAAUGGUCGGAAGACUGACCCAGCCAUGCCGCGUGCAGGAAGACGGCCCUCUGGGUUGUAAACUGCUUUUAUCUGGGAAGAAAAAGGCCAUGCGUGGCAAAUUGCCGGUACCAGAUGAAUAAGCACCGGCUAACUCCGUGCCAGCAGCCGCGGUAAUACGGAGGGUGCAAGCGUUGUCCGGAUGUAUUGGGUUGAAAGGGUGCGUAGGCGGCUGAUUAAGUCAGCGGUGAAAGACUCCGGCUUAACCGGAGCAGUGCCGUUGAUACUGGUUAGCUUGAGUGUUGGAGGGGUACAUGGAAUUGAUGGUGUAGCGGUGAAAUGCAUAGAUACCAUCAGGAACACCGAUAGCGAAGGCAUUGUACUGGCCAACAACUGACGCUGAUGCACGAAAGUGUGGGGAUCGAACAGGAUUAGAAACCCGUGUAGUCC